AUCGUCUCAAAACAGGAUGGCUCACUCUGCACGUGCGCGGCUUCUCUUGCAUAUGUUAGUGAAUUUCCCUUGUCUUUUACAUUAUGCAUUUUCUUAAAAAAAUCCUACUAAAAUAAUGGGAAUAAAACAAACAAACAAAUAAAUAAUAAAGGAAAUAAAAACCACACCUUCCAGGCAAGCCUUGACAGUAGCUCGCUGCUACAGAGAGCUCUUACUGGGGACCCUGGUGCACACUCACCCAGGAGACGCAGCUGACCCGCCACACCACCGCGCACAGCGAAGAAGGCCCAGAGCGCCUGCGAGGUGUCCACGCACAGCAAGCGUCCCCGCGGGCGCCCGUUCACCGCCAGCAGGACGUCGCCGCCCGGUCGCAGCGUGAAGCUGAGUGCGUCGCCUCCGCUGGGCACGGGCCCGGCGCGCGCCACCACCCAGUAUUCCUUGCGGUCCAGCAGCGCAGCGGGAUCGGCGGGCAGCUCGGAUGGCCGCAGCGCGCCAGGAUCGCAGGACGUGAUGCCGAAGGCCACAGCUGCGGGCGCCGCCAGCCCCGGGCGCCCCACUUCCACGCACAGGCUCUCCCCGGGCCGCAGCGGCCG
rnacentral:lncRNA from 1 species